GUCGAGGGACGGAGGUGAAAGCUAGAUGACGUUUUGGUGCCAUCGUGACCUGCAAUAUUAAUGAAUGUUAACCAAUAUAACAUGUUGUUGAACAAUAAUAUUAGUAGAGCAUCAAUAAAUAAAUACUAACAUUUAUAUCAGGAUGUUGAACUCAUUGUCCAAUGGCAUCUACAAUAUGGACAUCACCAUUACUCCUGACAAAUGUAUCCGAGACCUCGAUAACACCAGGU
rnacentral:lncRNA from 1 species